GAUGAACGCUGGCGGCGUGCCUAAUACAUGCAAGUCGAGCGAAUGGAUUAAGAGCUUGCUCUUAUGAAGUUAGCGGCGGACGGGUGAGUAACACGUGGGUAACCUGCCCAUAAGACUGGGAUAACUCCGGGAAACCGGGGCUAAUACCGGAUAACAUUUUGAACCGCAUGGUUCGAAAUUGAAAGGCGGCUUCGGCUGUCACUUAUGGAUGGACCCGCGUCGCAUUAGCUAGUUGGUGAGGUAACGGCUCACCAAGGCAACGAUGCGUAGCCGACCUGAGAGGGAGAUCGGCCACACUGGGUACUGACACACGGCCCAGACUCCUACGGGAGGUAGCAGUAGGGAAUCUUCCGCAAUGGACGAAAGUCUGACGGAGCAACGCCGCGUGAGUGAUGAAGGCUUUCGGGUCGUAAAACUCUGUUGUUAGGGAAGAACAAGUGCUAGUUGAAUAAGCUGGCACCUUGACGGUACCUAACCAGAAAGCCACGGCUAACUACGUGCCAGCCGCCGCCGUAA
rnacentral:rRNA from 1 species